rnacentral:rRNA from 1 species
AACGAACGCUGGCGGCAGGCUUAACACAUGCAAGUCGAGCGCCCCGCAAGGGGAGCGGCAGACGGGUGAGUAACGCGUGGGAAUCUACCCAUCUCUACGGAAUAACGCAUGGAAGCGUGUGCUAAUACCGUAUACGUCCUUCGGGAGAACGAUUUAUCGGAGAUGGAUGAGCCCGCGUUGUAUUAGCAAGUUGGUGGGGUAAAGGCCUAGCAAGGCGACGAUCCAUAGCUGGUCUGAGAGGAUGAGCAGCCACACUGGGACUGAGAAACGGCCCAGACUCCUACGGGAUGCAGCAGUGGGGAAUAUUGGACAAUGGGCGCAAGCCUGAUCCAGCCAUGCCGCGUGAGUGAUGAAGGCCCUAGGGUUGUAAAGCUCUUUCACCGGUGAAGAUAAUGACGGUAACCGGAGAAGAAGCCCCGGCUAACUUCUUGCCAGCCGCCGCGGUAACAC